rnacentral:rRNA from 1 species
GAUGAACGCUAGCUGUAGGCUUAACACAUGCAAGUCGAGGGACCGGCGCACGGGUGAGUAACGCGUAUCCAACCUGCCCAUAACUAAGGGAUAACCCAGCGAAAGUUUGACUCAUACCUUAUGGUUAUGGAUGGGGAUGCGUCUGAUUAGCUGGUUGGCGGGGGAACGGCCCACCAAGGCAACGAUCAGUAGGGGGUCGGAGAGGAAGGUCACCCACAUUGGAACAGAGACCCGGUCCCAACGCGUACGGGAGGUAGCGGUGCGGAGUAUUGGGAAAUGGACGUGAGUCAGAACCAGCCAAGUAGCGUGGAGGGUGAUGGGCUAUGGGUUGUAAACGGCUUAUAUAAGGGGAUAGGUAACAUAUGAAUAAGGACCGGCUAAUUCCGUGCCAGCAGCCGCGGUAAUAC